rnacentral:sRNA from 1 species
UCUCAAGCAUUACCUCGAAAUUUGAAUUACCCCGAGCGCCAGCGAGAGAGCGUUGCCGCAGGCAACGACCCGAAGGGCGAAGCGCGCAGCGCUGAGUAAUCCUUCCCCCACCACCA